UAUUAAAUAAUGAUUGUAAUUUUAGGAAGUUUUUUUUCAAACUCCUAAAGUGCUAAAAAUUUAUGCCCUAUAAAUCAAUCAAAUCAUAUUUUAUUUGUCAUAUGCAUUAAGAUAAAAAUAUGACUAAAACACCCAAGUUUGUUAAUGCUAUUUCUAUAUUUCUUUUCUUAUUACUUGUCAUAAAGAAUGUUGAUGGUAAGCCAUUCUUUUUCCUUUUUAUGUUCCCUUCUUUACUUGGUAGUUCAUUCACACUAUUUUAUUUAUUUUUAUUAACAUCAUUUUGUUCCUUUGAUUCAUUACAGCAAUUAUUGAAUGUGAAACUGAUAAAGAUUGUCUAAGAUAUUUGCCAAAAAAUUGGAAGUGCAUUGACAAGCAAUGUAAAAAUGUUAAAGUGACGCUACGGCCGGUUGAUGGAGUACCCAAAUUUCAUGAAGAGAAGAACGAGUCAUUAGGCUAGCAAAAAAAUCUAUGCAAUAUACCUAAUGCAAGAAUAUUCAAUAGUUGGCAAUUAUUAUUGUGUUACCACCCACACCCAAUAAUUGUAUUUUAAAUUUAUUUUUCCUUUGGUAACUUCACUGAUCUUGUUAGCAUUUAUGUCAUUAUAUGUUAGAAUAUUUUCUAAUAUUUUGUGGGCUGCAAUCAAUUGUGGCUUUUGAUUUUAAUAAAAAUGGGUUGAUGUUGUUGUGAUCCAUUGAUGAUGGUUAAGCCUGAUAAUUGUGAUCAGUAAGAAUGGUUUUGAACACUAAUUCUGAUUUGUGUAGAAACAAAGUGUAGGCCCAACUCUAGAGUCCAUGAUGGGUGGUA
rnacentral:lncRNA from 1 species